UCCCUUGACCACUCAAACAGCCAGACGCCGGUGAGCAUGCCUUGGGCCCCGAGUGUGCCGGGCUGGUCCCUCUGUACGCAGCAAAAUGCACCCCAACUGCUAGAGAACUGAGAAGGGGUCUGCCCUGGUUCUUUGAUUAUCUCCGCUGCUGCUGAGAGGCCUGUGGUAACCCUGUGUGGGAAGGGGAUGUGCAGAUGUGCAGGGCCCCUCCUGUCUGUGCCAUGCACAGGGAGGCCUUUACUGUGCUUGCCGGAGGAAUGUGCUGCCAGGGGCCAGGAGCUGGAAAGGCGCUGAGCCCAGGUGACUUUCCCUCCCCGUGUGUGAGGCCGUCGCUCGGCGUCUGCAUGCUGUCAGCUGCGUCUAACAACCCCUCCUCUAGGUUGGGGAUCCUAUCCAGGAGCCCUGCGUUUUGUCAUCCAGAAGCCAUUUGAAAUGAAGAGAACAUUUACCAAUACAAAUGAAAACACACUUAGGCAGUUUCCCCCUUUGAUGCCUAAGAAAUCAUGAUACAGUCUUUGCUUGUCUGUGUUCUCAUCCAGCAUUUUUGUAUUUGCUAGGUGCAAAUAAAGUACGAUUCUAAUGAAUAAAUAUAAGUAUUAACACUUUCUUAUACUUUCACCUAAGCCAGCUUGGAUGAGGAAAGGAAGCGUCUUGAGAAAUGUGUUCUGAGAAGUAUUUUCACCUGAGGAAGCCGAUAAUUGAGAUGAGCGCUGUUUUCAUAAGCAGUUGAGCGUGCAUGGUGGUGAGGUAAUCAUGUGUGCAAGUCAAAAUUCUCAUUUUCUGUCAUGGGAAGUUACUUGAAGAAUGUUGGUGUUCCUUAUUGUAUACUUUAGUGUGCACAGUCUAAAGAAAAAGUGAGCUACUGCAAGAACUGGUGGAGACUGAAUUACUAGGGAAGAAAACGGGGAUAAAACUGUUGGAAAAAGAAGUAGAAAGGGCAAGGGAAGAGGCAUUGAAAUGAAGAUAAACAAUUUGAUUUUGAUAAUCUGGCUGCAGUUGCUUUGCCCACUCCACACUGGGAGAGAAGGGCUCACGCCGAGCAGCUGCUGUCCAGUGUUGCUGAGCGCCACACAGCAUUAGCAUGGAGAGUGGUCCUACAGAGUACGAGAAGAGGGCGUGGAGGCUCGUGGAGGCCGCUCUGCAGCCUGCUCUGCCUGGCUCUGGUCGUCGGGUGUGCUGUGUGCUUCAUGACCCUCUGUGCCCGCAGGUGUCCUCGGAGCACAUGGUGGGUGGGCAUUGGCUCUUCAAGGCUCUCCAUCUCAAUUUGCUUUGAAUUAGGGAAGCCAGGGAGCACAUGUGUAUAAAUGUGUCUUCUGGAACAGAUUGCUACUGCAUUUCUGAGAGCUUUGCAAUUUUUAUAGAAAGAUUUUUAUUUAACUUUUUAAAUGUUACUUUAGAUUGAAAGUUUGUUAUAUGGCUGUAUUGGGUGAGGCUGGGGUUUGGGCUUCUAGGGUACCUAUUACCCAAAUAGGAAACAUUGUACCCAAUGGGUAGUUUUUCAAAACUUGCGCCCAUCACCCUCCCCCUUUUGGAGUCCCCAGGGUCUGCCAUUUCCAUGGUCAUGUCCAUGUGUACCCAUGGUUUAGCUCCCAAGAAAAGACUUUUAAAGAUAACUUUAAAAACCAAGCUUCGUUUCCUCUGUUUCCAGCCUGGUUCAUUCCGUAGCGCAUCUCAUCUUCUGAGUCUUGGCUUCGCCUGUUAACGUUCGCGAUGGUUUAUGUCACUGGCGUGGUGCAGAAACCAGCCUUUUUUUGAUAUCGGUAUUUAACACGUGCUUGAUAGUUGACACCUUACCUGCUCUGUUGGACUUGCUUUGCUCACUUUGUAUUUUGCUGUCGUCUUCUGUGCUUGUUUGAGAAGCUGUUUGAAGAGGUAAGGGGUGGGCGGUUCCGUUGUGAACACGCCUCUGAGCUAGUAUGCGUGUGGCCCCUGCAGAACAGCCCCGGCUGAGCUUGGCUGUGCACCUGGCACUCAGAGUCGGGUAGCUGAGCACUCGCUCCCUUUUCUUCUCCCUGAGACUUCAAAUAGUUUCUUAAAGCGAUUAUUUUUUACUUAUCUGUCAUUUAAUGAUGACCUUAGUUUCCUCUCGUCUUUCCAGUUAGCUGUACCGGGGGGUGGGUCUGCCCCAGGGAGCCACUGCUGCCCCCUCCCCUCCUCCCUCAGGAGUGUGCAGGAUGUCUGUGCACACCAGCGCCAGCCUGCCUCCUGGGGACACCUCUCAUCACAGAACUAACAGGACCCAAAUGGCACGAGGGGUUUUAUCAGA